CCCGGGGGGGUGCUAUACAUGCAGUCGAACGCGUUGGCCCAAUUGAUUGAUGGUGCUUGCACCUGAUUGAUUUUGGUCGCCAACGAGUGGCGGACGGGUGAGUAACACGUAGGUAACCUGCCCAGAAGCGGGGGACAACAUUUGGAAACAGAUGCUAAUACCGCAUAACAGCGUUGUUCGCAUGAACAACGCUUAAAAGAUGGCUUCUCGCUAUCACUUCUGGAUGGACCUGCGGUGCAUUAGCUUGUUGGUGGGGUAAUGGCCUACCAAGGCGAUGAUGCAUAGCCGAGUUGAGAGACUGAUCGGCCACAAUGGGACUGAGACACGGCCCAUACUCCUACGGGAGGCAGCAGUAGGGAAUCUUCCACAAUGGGCGCAAGCCUGAUGGAGCAACACCGCGUGAGUGAAGAAGGGUUUCGGCUCGUAAAGCUCUGUUGUUAAAGAAGAACACGUAUGAGAGUAACUGUUCAUACGUUGACGGUAUUUAACCAGAAAGUCACGGCUAACUACGUGCCAGCAGCCGCGGUAAUACGUAGGUGGCAAGCGUUAUCCGGAUUUAUUGGGCGUAAAGAGAGUGCAGGCGGUUUUCUAAGUCUGAUGUGAAAGCCUUCGGCUUAACCGGAGAAGUGCAUCGGAAACUGGAUAACUUGAGUGCAGAAGAGGGUAGUGGAACUCCAUGUGUAGCGGUGGAAUGCGUAGAUAUAUGGAAGAACACCAGUGGCGAAGGCGGCUACCUGGUCUGCAACUGACGCUGAGACUCGAAAGCAUGGGUAGCGAACAGGAUUAGAUACCCUGGUAGUCCAUGCCGUAAACGAUGAGUGCUAGGUGUUGGAGGGUUUCCGCCCUUCAGUGCCGGAGCUAACGCAUUAAGCACUCCGCCUGGGGAGUACGACCGCAAGGUUGAAACUCAAAGGAAUUGACGGGGGCCCGCACAAGCGGUGGAGCAUGUGGUUUAAUUCGAAGCUACGCGAAGAACCUUACCAGGUCUUGACAUCUUGCGCCAACCCUAGAGAUAGGGCGUUUCCUUCGGGAACGCAAUGACAGGUGGUGCAUGGUCGUCGUCAGCUCGUGUCGUGAGAUGUUGGGUUAAGUCCCGCAACGAGCGCAACCCUUGUUACUAGUUGCCAGCAUUAAGUUGGGCACUCUAGUGAGACUGCCGGUGACAAACCGGAGGAAGGUGGGGACGACGUCAGAUCAUCAUGCCCCUUAUGACCUGGGCUACACACGUGCUACAAUGGACGGUACAACGAGUCGCGAACUCGCGAGGGCAAGCAAAUCUCUUAAAACCGUUCUCAGUUCGGACUGCAGGCUGCAACUCGCCUGCACGAAGUCGGAAUCGCUAGUAAUCGCGGAUCAGCAUGCCGCGGUGAAUACGUUCCCGGGCCUUGUACACACCGCCCGUCACACCAUGAGAGUUUGUAACACCCAAAGUCGGUGGGGUAACCUUUUAGGAGCCAGCCGCUAAGUGACAGAA
rnacentral:rRNA from 1 species